rnacentral:lncRNA from 1 species
AAAGGGAUUUUAGAGAGCUAGCCAAACAUGGCCUAGUUGCCUUUGUGUUUGUAACUGAUGGUAUCUGUAUAACUGAGGGAUAAAUAAAAACACGUUACGUGUUUCAUCAGUUAGAAAUCUUACGUGAAAAUACAGAGGGAAGGAGAGGGUUUAGAGAGAAUUGGAGAAGAAGGAUGAAGAGUCAAGGAGAAGUAAGGAGGAGAUUGAGCAGUUGUUCUUCAUCACCAAACUAAGAUUAGGAAGAAUCAAGAGGUAAGAAUCAAUUCUAAACCCUUAAGUUUUAUUUCUUGAGUUCUUUAUUGAUAAAUUGGAUUCUUAAGGAAUUGGUUGUAGAUGUUAAUGGGUUUGUAGAAUCCAUUCUAUAUCAUCUAAAAGUGGUUUUAGAGUAAUCAAACUCAUGAGAACAUGUUAAAGAUGAAUAAUAUGAGUUUUGUUUAAUAUAUGUAUUUUGGGUCUGUUUUGAGACUAAAAUUGGUUAGGACUUUAUGUUAUAAUUGUAAAAUUGGUUAUUGAUUGUGUUAAUAAAAUAAGAAACAAAAAGAACGCAAGUUGAAUGAAUCAAUUUGGUUAAGAAACGAAUUCGUAGUGAAUGAAUUCGCUAAACAUGUUAAAACAUAAAAAUAGAGUAUGAACAUGUGUUUUGGG